rnacentral:rRNA from 1 species
GCAAGGAUUCGAUCUUCUCCAGUAAGGGCCGAUUUGGCAUAUUGGUACCCGAACUUGAAGAUCGUGAGGGAUUUGAUCUACAAGAGAGGCUAUGGAAAGCUCAACAAGCAAAGGAUUCCUCUAACCAAUAACAAGGUCACUAAGGAGGGUCUUGGAAAGUACAACAUCAUCUGCAUUAAGGACCUUGUCCACGAGAUCCUGACCGUUGGCCUUCACUUCAAGGAGGCCAGCAACUUCCUGUGGCCAUUCAAGCUGAAGGCGCCGCUGGGAGGCCUCAAGAAGAAGAGGAACCACUACGUCGAGGGCGGUGACGCUGGCAACCGCGAGAACUACAUCAACCAGCUCGUCAGGAGGAUGAACUAG